rnacentral:rRNA from 1 species
AUGAACGCUGGCGGCGUGCCUAGUCCAUGCAAGUCGAGCGAACAGACGAGGAGCUUGCUCCUCUGACGUUAGCGGCGGACGGGUGAGUAACACGUGGAUAACCUACCUAUAAGACUGGGAUAACUUCGGGAAACCGGAGCUAAUACCGGAUAAUAUAUUGAACCGCAUGGUUCAAUAGUGAAAGACGGUUUUGCUGUCACUUAUAGAUGGAUCCGCGCCGCAUUAGCUAGUUGGUAAGGUAACGGCUUACCAAGGCAACGAUGCGUAGCCGACCUGAGAGGGUGAUCGGCCACACUGGAACUGAGACACGGUCCAGACUCCUACGGGAGGCAGCAGUAGGGAAUCUUCCGCAAUGGGCGAAAGCCUGACGGAGCAACGCCGCGUGAGUGAUGAAGGUCUUCGGAUCGUAAAACUCUGUUAUUAGGGAAGAACAAAUGUGUAAGUAACUAUGCACGUCUUGACGGUACCUAAUCAGAAAGCCACGGCUAACUACGUG